rnacentral:rRNA from 1 species
AUUGAACGCUGGCGGCAGGCCUAACACAUGCAAGUCGAACGGUAACAGGAAGAAGCUUGCUUCUUUGCUGACGAGUGGCGGACGGGUGAGUAAUGUCUGGGAAACUGCCUGAUGGAGGGGGAUAACUACUGGAAACGGUAGCUAAUACCGCAUAAUGUCGCAAGACCAAAGAGGGGGACCUUCGGGCCUCUUGCCAUCGGAUGUGCCCAGAUGGGAUUAGCUAGUAGGUGGGGUAACGGCUCACCUAGGCGACGAUCCCUAGCUGGUCUGAGAGGAUGACCAGCCACACUGGAACUGAGACACGGUCCAGACUCCUACGGGAGGCAGCAGUGGGGAAUGUUGCACAAUGGGCGCAAGCCUGAUGCAGCUAUGCCGCGUGUAUGAAGAAGGCCUUCGGGUUGUAAAGUACUUUCAGCGGGGAGGAAGGGAGUAAAGUUAAUACCUUUGCUCAUUGACGUUACCCGCAGAAGAAGCACCGGCUAACUCCGUG